AUACUCAGCUUGGGUUGAGUGAACCAACCCAUGCUCUACGAUGCUGCUGGACCAGGAGGCUGUUGUACCAAACAAAGGUUGAAAUCAACGUACAUUUGGGGACGACUGGGGUGACGGGAGCGCUGAGAGUCUGGCACGAUCAGGCUCUUCACCGCUUGCUUGGCAUUUUUUUUAGUUUUCCAGUCAUGGAAGAGUUCUUGGACUAUUUUCCCAGUUUUCCAUACUUUACUGGAUUGCAGACAUCCUGAGCUACACACUGUAAUUGAAGCAACUGGGCAUUCGAGGAUUACAUGUUUGUAUCGCUCAUGUUUGUGACCUGCAUCUGUUUGACUAAUUCUCGUUCUUUACACAGAAUAUAAAGCUCUGAAAAAUUAUUGCGCAGGCUGCAUUUCUGCAUUGUGUGGUUAUGCAGUUCGACUGUACAGCUUUGUAUUGAGAGAUUGUGCUAUUUCUUGAGAAACAACA